rnacentral:lncRNA from 1 species
UUUAAGAUAGAUCUUUAAAUCUUAAUGUAUUUUUCUAUUUUUAAUGUAAAACGGCAAUGUUUAAUAGAAGAACUUGGACAAAUAGUCAAAUAGUUAUAUUUAUGUUUUUUUUUAUAAAACGGUAAUGUUACAUUAUGGAGAUAAACCAUUUUCUUUAGUGAAAAAUGGUAAUCUUACAUAUGUUUAAUGUAGUUUUUCCAUUUUUUAUGUUGUAUGUUUACAUAUUAUUGUUAUUUUUAAAUGUAAAAUGGUAAUUUUACACAUGUUUAAUAUAGUAUUUCCAUUUUUUAUGUUGUAUGUUUACAUAUUAUUUCUUAUUUUCAAAAUUAUAUAUAAUGUUUUUUUUUUACAAAAUAGUAAUGUUACAUUAUGGAGAUAAGCCGUCUUUUUUUUUUAGUGAAAAAUGGUAAUCUUACAUAUGUUUAAUGUAGUUUUUCCAUUUUUUAUGUUGUAUGUUUACAUAUUAUUUAUAAUUUUCGAAAAUUAUUAAUAUUAAAAUGUAAAACUAUAUUUUAUGCCACGUGUCAUCUUUCGGGAGAAGUACUUUUUGCUGAUGUGGACGCUCUAUGGAGCCUCAAAAGGUCGCUUUUAUUAGUAAGGAUUUAGAG